AGUGAGCCGAGGGAUUUGCUCUUGAAAGGUCUCCACACUCCUUUUCUCGCCAGUUUCUCGACAACCAAACGGAAAGGUAUCUAAUUUAAAUCAAAAUGUAGAGUGACAGAACAGAGAUUAUGCAAAUCACAGAAAUUGGAAGCUUCAAUUCCUCAAUUACGGUGAGCAGCGAGAUGUUCAGCCCCAACCGUAGUGAACCUGUUGAGGAAACUAAGUUUUGAUGAGUCUGUUAUGAGCGCCUCACGAGCGAGGCUUUUGUUCUUUUGUCUUUCACUUUUUCUGUUUCCUUUUGUUGGUUAAGCUCGAUCACUUCUGCAUACAAGUUUGGUAUUUGUAUGUUAUGAAGAUCUUGGACAUAUGGAAUCUUAUUAUGAUUUGUAUGAGUGUGAGUUAUUAAUAUAUGAGAAGUUCUCUUUAUGCCA